rnacentral:rRNA from 1 species
UCCUGGCUCAGGAUGAACGCUGGCGGCUGCUUACACAUGCAGUCGAACGCAACCUUCGGGUUGAGUGGCGGACGGGUGAGUAACGCGUGAGAAUCUGCCUUGGGGUCGGGGACAACCACUGGAGACGGUGGCUAAGUACCGGAUAAGCCUUUGGGUAAAAAAUUUAUUGCCCCAAGAGGAGCUCGCGUCUGAUUAGCUAGUUGGUGAGGUAAGAGCUCACCAAGGCAGCGAUCAGUAGCUGGUCUGAGAGGACGAUCAGCCACACUGGGACUGAGACACGGCCCAGACUCCUACGGGAGGCAGCAGUGGGGAAUUUUCCGCAAUGGGCGAAAGCCUGACGGAGCAAGACCGCGUGAGGGAGGAAGGCUCUUGGGUUGUAAACCUCUUUUCUCAGGGAAGAAGCUCUGACGGUACCUGAGGAAUCAGCCUCGGCUAACUCCGUGCCAGCAGCCGCGGUAAUACGGAGGAGGCAAGCGUUAUCCGGAAUUAUUGGGCGUAAAGCGUCCGCAGGUGGCGAUUCAAGUCUGCUGUCAAAGCACGGGGCUUAACUCCGUUAAGGCAGUGGAAACUGAAUAGCUAGAGUGCCGUAGGGGUAGAGGGAAUUCCCGGUGUAGCGGUGAAAUGCGUAGAGAUCGGGAAGAACAUCGGUGGCGAAAGCGCUCUACUGGACGGCAACUGACACUCAGGGACGAAAGCUAGGGGAGCGAAUGGGAUUAGAUACCCCAGUAGUCCUAGCUGUAAACGAUUGGAUACUAGGUGUAGCUUGUAUC